rnacentral:misc_RNA from 1 species
AGCAGCCGCGGUAAUUCCAGCUCCAAUAGCGUAUAUUAAAGUUGUUGCAGUUAAAAGCUCGUAGUUGAAUUUCGGGAUCAAUAUGUUGGUCGUGCCUCGGUACGUACUAGCAUAUUGGUUUCUCCUUUCUGAAGAACCAUGAUGUCAUUUAUUUGGUGUCGUGGGGAAUCAGGACUGUUACUUUGAAAAAUUAGAGUGUUUAAAGCAGGCUCACGCUUGAAUACAUUAGCAUGGAAUAAUGAAAUAGGACGUUUGAUUCUAUUUUGUUGGUUUCUAGGAUCGACGUAAUGAUUAAUAGGGAUAGUUGGGGGCAUUAGUAUUCAAUUGUCAGAGGUGAAAUUCUUGGAUUUAUUGAAGACUAACUACUGCGAAAGCAUUUGCCAAGGAUGUUUUCAUUAAUCAAGAACGAAAGUUAGGGAUCGAAGACGAUCAGAUACCGUCGUAGUCUUAACCAUAAACUAUGCCGACUAGGGAUCGGAUGAUGUUAAUUUUUUAAUGA